rnacentral:rRNA from 1 species
GAUGAACGCUGGCGGCGUGCCUAAUACAUGCAAGUCGAGCGAACGGACGAGAAGCUUGCUUCUCUGAUGUUAGCGGCGGACGGGUGAGUAACACGUGGAUAACCUACCUAUAAGACUGGGAUAACUUCGGGAAACCGGAGCUAAUACCGGAUAAUAUUUUGAACCGCAUGGUUCAAAAGUGAAAGACGGUCUUGCUGUCACUUAUAGAUGGAUCCGCGCUGCAUUAGAUAGUUGGUAAGGUAACGGCUUACCAAGGCAACGAUGCAUAGCCGACCUGAGAGGGGGAUCGGCCACACUGGAACUGAGACACGGUCCAGACUCCUACGGGAGGCAGCAGUAGGGAAUCGUCCGCAAUGGGCGAAAGCCUGACGGAGCAACGCCGCGUGAGUGAUGAAGGUCUUCGGAUCGUAAAACUCUGUUAUUAGGGAAGAACAUAUGUGUAAGUAACUGUGCACAUCUUGACGGUACCUAAUCAGAAAGCCACGGCUAACUACGUG